CGCGCCGUUCGGCCCGCCUUCACCUCCACGACCUGCGGCGGGUUCUCCAAGUGCAACACCGGACCUGCCCGGUUGAGUGACACAACAAAAAAGCAAAAGCGUCAGACAGAGCGCGUGUAAUUGGGGCUAUGAUUCGUGUCCAUCCUCACCAUUGUGCAACCACGCGACUUUGAUGGGUCGACUCCCGGAGAGGACGCCGCUCAAGGUGAUGUCAUCGCCUUCGUCCACGCAGCAGUCCUGCAGCGGCCGCACGAAGACGGGCGGGUCGGCACGCUGGUGCGAGGGGAGGACGCCUGGACGGGAAGUAAGACGUGAGGACGAAAACACCGCCGCUUACUGUAUACACCUGCAGAUGAUGCUAAAUAGUGACCUUCUGCUGUAUUGUCUUGAAACUUACAGAUAAAACCCUAAACCUUG